GAUGAACGCUAGCGGCAGGCCUAAUACAUGCAGGUCGAACGGCCCCGACACUUCGGUGUCGGGGUAGUGGCGCACGGGUGCGUAACGCGUACACAACAUACCCUUUACAGGGGGAUAGCGGCGGGAAACUGCCAGUAAUACCCCAUGUCCUUGCGAGGUGGCAUCAUUUUGCAAAGAAAGUUCAAGCGGUAAAGGAUUGGUGUGCGUCCGAUUAGCUAGUUGGCGGGGUAACGGCCCACCAAGGCGACGAUCGGUAGGGGGUGUGAGAGCAUGGCCCCCCCACACGGGUACUGAGACACGGACCCGACUCCUACGGGAGGCAGCAGUAAGGAAUAUUGGACAAUGGGCGGAAGCCUGAUCCAGCCAUCCCGCGUGCUUGAUGAAGGCCCUCUGGGUCGUAAAGAGCUUUUAGACUGGGGAAGAAACCACUUCUCGUGAGAGGUGUUGACGGUACCUGAAGAAUAAGCACCGGCUAACUCCGUG
rnacentral:rRNA from 1 species